rnacentral:tRNA from 1 species
GUAAACAUAGUUUAAAUAAAAUUCUAGAUUGUGAUUCUAGAGAUAGGAGAUAAAACCUUCUUGUUGACC